GAGAGCUAUUGUUGAUCUUUUUUAAGUUUAAUCGCUUUUGUUGCAUGUUCUUGUCGUUUUAGUAUAUUUUUCUAAUUUUCCAAAUUCGUUUUUAGUUGAAAUUUAGUUCUCAGUGAUUGUUGUUGCAUGCUGAUAUCAAAUUCUUUUUGAAUUUUCUUCGAUUCGAUCUCAUGUUUUGCUUGCCUUCUUGUGAGUGUUCGAAUCUGGAGUUGUGCUUUCUCAUUCCUUUUCAUUUACUAAUAUAUGUGAUUGAGAUCUAAUUUUCGUCAAACUUCUUGUCGGCGGUUUUAAAACUCA
rnacentral:lncRNA from 1 species